AACGAACGCUGGCGGCAGGCUUAACACAUGCAAGUCGAGCGCCCCGCAAGGGGAGCGGCAGACGGGUGAGUAACGCGUGGGAAUCUACCCAACCCUGCGGAAUAGCUCCGGGAAACUGGAAUUAAUACCGCAUACGCCCUACGGGGAAAGGAUUUAUCGGGGAUGGAUGAGCCCGCGUUGGAUUAGCUAGUUGGUGGGGU
rnacentral:rRNA from 1 species